rnacentral:rRNA from 1 species
GACGAACGCUGGCGGCGUGCUUAACACAUGCAAGUCGAACGGAAAGGCCCUGCUUUUGUGGGGUGCUCGAGUGGCGAACGGGUGAGUAACACGUGAGUAACCUGCCCUUGACUUUGGGAUAACUUCAGGAAACUGGGGCUAAUACCGGAUAGGAGCUCCUGCUGCAUGGUGGGGGUUGGAAAGUUUCGGCGGUUGGGGAUGGACUCGCGGCUUAUCAGCUUGUUGGUGGGGUAGUGGCUUACCAAGGCUUUGACGGGUAGCCGGCCUGAGAGGGUGACCGGCCACAAUGGGACUGAGAUACGGCCCAGACUGCUACGGGAGGCAACAGGGGGGAAUAUUGCACAAUGGGCGGGAGCCUGAUGCAGCGACGCCGGGUGCGGGAUGACGGCCUUCGGGGUGUAAACCGCUUUCGCCUGUGACGAAGCGGGAGUGACGGUAAUGGGUAAAGAAGCACCGGCUAACUACGUG